AAGACACUGAGGCCCUGAAGCAUGUCCAGAGAAGGGCAAUGAAGCUGAGAAGGUUCUGGAGCACAAAUCUUAUGGGGAGUGGCUGAUGGAACUGGGAUUGUUCAGUCAUAGAAGAGGAGGCUCAGGGGAGACAUUGCUGUCUACAACUGCCUGAAAGGAGGUUGUGGCAGAGCUGGAUCACAGCCUGAGUCAUCGCACUUCAAACAGAGAAUGAAAGCUCCUGAGAUGAACACAGACAUUGCCACCUUAUUCCUCCAAACUUUUCAACUCUGUAGGCUGAAGACAGCACAUCUUGAUCUAUUGCAUAUUUGACUCUCCUCCUGCGUUACUGAUGGAUCUUGGACAUGGGCCAGUGUGCUGUGUGGUAGACAGAUCCCAUGCGAAGAGAAUGAAAAGACAUUACUGUGCAGUCUCUCUCAGCAGACAAUGAAGACAGGAGCUCACAGGGAAUGAAUCAUCCUAUCUAUUUUAAACACCACUGUACAAAAGAUGAAUGGCAUAUUAAAUCUUCCCAGACCUCUCUGCUGACUCCAGUGGUUGCCCAGAUGAGCAGUUCAGGUGGAGGCACGGCUAAUGGAGGUGUCACUGUUU
rnacentral:lncRNA from 1 species